UUUCUUAUAAAACAAUAUUUAUAGAGUUACCGGUAAAUAAUUUUUGUAGCGUAAAAGUUAAAUAAAUUCAUACAUAUUGUAAUACAGAUAACCAAAGUAUAAAAUUUAAUUUACAGUGACACGUGGGCUCACAAACGACCAAAAGUAUCAAAAGCAGUAAACCUAUAGUUUUUGAGGAUGCAAGUUCAACUGUAGCCCUCAACAAAGUGAGCUAUCUACCGACUAUCUUGAGCCUGAAAUGGGUGGAAAGGAGGGUGGUGAGAUUAUAUAAUCCCAGUAAGUAAACAAAUAUCAUCUAAAAUAUCUAAAAUUGAGUAAAUAGAGAUAGAUAAAAUAGUUUAACAUACUGUAAUUCAUCAUGUUUCAACUCAUUUCAACCAAAUAAAAUCAAUUCAUAUAAAUCGAGUAAACAACAUGGCUUAUGAAUUUCUUAAAAGCUUUGGCUCGUGCCAAUAUCAUUCUUAUACUUAGUUAUCAGGGAUACCUUGGUCGGAGGUUAUCCCAACCGAGUCCGCCAAGGCUAUUAAAAAGUUAUGUACACAUAAAUCAUGUUUUUAUUUUGAAAAUAUAGCCGUUCCUUGACGUUGGCUGAGUUCACCCUCACGUGGUGGUUUGGCGUGAAGUGAACUCUAAAGUGUUAACCUCAGGAGUUAUCCAUCCGCGCCUCUCAUGCUGAGGUAUGAAUAUAAUAGGGUUACCGUGCCCUCUUUAAUAAGCUGGUCCACGAAACCCCGUCUACUGCAGCGACCAAUUUAUAACCCACCAUACAAUAAAAAUUCAACAGCAUGACAUGAUAAUUUUAUCAUUAUCCAGCCUAUCAAGGCAAACAACAGUUUAUACAUUUUCAACACAAAUACCAAUUCAGCCAUUCAUGCCAAUAUUGCCAUAAGCCAAUCAAUUAGAACCAUAAAUUCACAACACAUCAAAUAGUCUCCAAUUACUCUAUUUUCCAAAACCAUCAUUCAAUUUCUAGACAAUUUUAUAAAAUCAUUUCAUUAAAUCACAUUUUACUUUUAAAACAUAAAGAUUUACCAUUUAUCUCAUUUUCUAUAAAAUCACAAAAUCGGAUAAAAAUCACUUUAGAUAAUUAAGAUGAUAAUAAGGUUACUCACUAUUUCAAGAGUCGAAUUUCUAGUACUUCGAUUCUUGAUCCUCGGAUACUAUCUCUUUACUUUUGCCAGAAUGCUCACCACAUAGACAUAAUGCACAAUAAGCCAUUUACUACAUUGGUGCUAAUUUGUUAUAAACCAAUUCAAGCUCUAUACUAAUGCAUGAAAUGAGAUGUGAAAUACUCGGAUAACAAUCUAAAUAUAGUGUUCAAUAUAAAUUCAAUUAUGUACCUAAAUAAAACGGUAUUGGCCUAAUUCGAUCUAUCAUUCGAUUAAUUGGCCAAUAUGUCCAAUUCAACUCCAAAUAAUUCCAUUUUUCUCCCAAUACUCCAAAUCAUCAAACACAAAUUAAAUAACUUGAAAUAUGAAAAAAUCAUCUUCACAUUUUCUCUUGGGAAUUUCGGCCAUGGUGGGUGCAUCAAUACUAUGAUUUUUCAAGCUUGAUUCUCACACCAUAAAUCACUAAUUUCUAACCAAAUCACUCGAAAUAAAAUCAAAAUCAUCAUCAAUAUUCUACAUGGAGAAUUCGGUCAAUGAUGGGUGAUGGGAGAACAUUAAUUUUUCUUGCUUGAUUUUCAUGUUACACAUCACUAACUAACUAAAAACACUAAAAUACAUUGAAAUCUAACCAAAUCAAGCAUCAAAACCUCCCUCUAAGUGUUCAGCCAGUAAGAUACCCAUCAUGAAAUCAUGUGAUUUAACCAUGGAAAAUGCAAAAGAAUGUAUGGAAAAGGUAGAUCACAAGUCAAAAUCAAGAAAUUUUACCUUUGAUUGCUUGAUUGCUUGAUUACUUGAAAUUCACCAAUUUUCUCUUGAAUUUUCACCCUAGGGUUCUUGUUCUUUCUUUUCUUCCUUUGUUCUUGCUUUGGCCGGCCAUAUGAA
rnacentral:lncRNA from 1 species